AACGAACGCUGGCGGCAUGCCUAACACAUGCCAGUCGAACGAAGGCUUCGGCCUUAGUGGCGCACGGGUGCGUAACGCGUGGGAAUCUGCCCUUUGGUUCGGAAUAACAGCUGGAAACGGCUGCUAAUACCGGAUGAUGACGAAAGUCCAAAGAUUUAUCGCCAGAGGAUGAGCCCGCGUUGGAUUAGGUAGUUGGUGGGGUAAAGGCCUACCAAGCCGACGAUCCAUAGCUGGUCUGAGAGGAUGAUCAGCCACACUGGGACUGAGACACGGCCCAGACUCCUACGGGAGGCAGGAGUGGGGAAUAUUGGACAAUGGGCGCAAGCCUGAUCCAGCAAUGCCGCGUGAGUGAUGAAGGCCCUAGGGUUGUAAAGCUCUUUUACCCGGGAAGAUAAUGACUGUACCGGGAGAAUAAGCCCCGGCUAACUCCGUG
rnacentral:rRNA from 1 species